rnacentral:tRNA from 1 species
CGGGGUGUGGCCUAAUUGGUAAGGCGCACGAUUCGGGUUCGUGAGAUUCCGGGUUCAAGUCCCGGCACCCCGACCA